UCAAGAAACUUCCACAAUGGGCGAAAGCCUGAUGGAGCGACGUCGCGUGAUGGACGAAGUGCUUCGGCACGUAAACAUCUUUUAUGUGGGAUGAAAUUAUUGACAGUACCACAUGAAUAAGGGGCUCCUAACUCUGUGCCAGCAGGAGCGGUAAUACAGAGGCCCCAAGCGUUAUCCGGAAUCACUGGGCGUAAAGGGUGUCGAGGCGGUUGUAUUAGUCGUUCGUAAAAUCUACGAGCUUAACUUGUAGGCGGCGAACGAAACGGUACGACUUGAGGUUUGGAGAGGUGCGUGGAACUCACGGUGUAGGGGUGAAAUCCGUUGAUAUCGUGGGGAACACCAAAGGCGAAGGCAGCGCACUGGCCAAAAUCUGACGCUCACACACGAAAGCUAGGGUAGCGAAGAGGAUUAGAUACCCCUGUAGUCCCUGAGCGGGC
rnacentral:rRNA from 1 species